GAACCAACAAAACACAAUUUUCAUGACUAUGGUACCAUCAAAUCCGAUAAUUGUAUCACCAACAAUUUUAACUUCAAAGCUAAACUUAGUGAUUCCACAAAAUUUAAAAGACAAACUAAAAUUUUUUGCCGAAGUAUUUUUUGUGAAGAUCAAAAUGGAUCUUUACGCAAAAAUCAAUUGUUUUUUCCUUUCCUUUUUCCAUGGCAGAAAGCUUCAUGCCAAAGCUCCUUUUGUAGAGUAACUUUCCCGGACAUAGCUGAUAGAGUGGGCAAUUCUACCAAAAAACACCACACUGGUUCUAUAUGA